rnacentral:sRNA from 1 species
CCAGUGCCUCAGCGGCAGCGGAACUGGCCCCGUGUCAGGCCGCUACCGCCACUCCAUGACCAGCCUCCCUGCAUACCCCGCCCCCCAGCACCCCCCACACAGGACCGCUUUUGUGUUUGGGACCCACCAGGCCUUUGCACCGUACAACAAACCCUCACUCUCCGGGGCCCGGUCUGCGCCCAGGCUGAACACCACCAACCCCUGGGGCGCAGCUGCUCCCUCCCUGGGGAGCCAGCCCCUCUACCGCUCCAGCCUCUCCCACCUGGGACCGCAGCAUCUGCCCCCAGGAUCCUCCACCUCCGGCGCAGUCAGUGCCUCCCUCCCCAGCGGUCCCUCGAGCAGCCCGGGGAGCAUCCCUGCCACUGUGCCCGUGCAGAUGCCAAAGCCCAGCAGAGUCCAGCAGGCGCUCGCAGGAGCGACCCCGAAGCCAGAGCCAGAGCCAGAGCAGGUCAUAAAAAACUACACGGAAGAGCUGAAAGUGCCCCCAGAUGAGGACUGCAUCAUCUGCAUGGAGAAGCUGUCCGCAACGUCUGGAUACAGUGAUGUGACUGACAGCAAGGCAGUCGGGCCCCUGGCUGUGGGUCGCCUCACCAAGUGCAGCCACACCUUCCACCUGCUGUGCCUGCUGGCCAUGUACUGCAAUGGCAACAAGGGCCCUGAGCACCCCAAUCCCGGAAAGCCGUUCACUGCCAGAGGGUUUCCCCGCCAGUGCUACCUUCCAGACAACGCCCAGGGCCGUAAGCCUCCAGGGGCUUCCAGAACCCAGAGACACUGGCUGACAUCCCGGCCUCCCCACAGCUGCUGACCGAUGGCCACUACAUGACGCUGCCCCUGUCUCUGGACCGGCUACCCUGUGACGACCCCAUGGCGGGCAGCGGUGGCGCCCCUGUGCUGCGGGUGGGCCAUGACCACAGCUGCCACCAGCAGCCCUUCUGCAAUGCGCCCCUCCCUGGCCCUGGACCCUAUCG